CUAGCAGUAUCAGAGUUUGAUCCUGGCUCAGAAUCAACGCUGGCGGCGUGCCUCAGACAUGCAAGUCGAACGAUUAAGACUUCCUUCGGGAAGUGUAUAAAGUGGCGCACGGGUGAGUAACACGUAAGUAAUCUACCUUCGAGUGGGGAAUAACGUUCGGAAACGAACGCUAAUACCGCAUAAUGCAGCGGCAUCGCAAGAUGACAGUUGUUAAAGGAGUAAUUCGCUUGAAGAGGAGCUUGCGGCAGAUUAGCUAGUUGGUAAGGUAACGGCUUACCAAGGCUACGAUCUGUAUCCGGUCUAAGAGGACGGUCGGACACACUGACACUGAAUAACGGGUCAG
rnacentral:rRNA from 1 species